rnacentral:miRNA from 1 species
ACAAUAUUUUGCUGCCCAUAUUGUUCCUGGUUGUUAACAAUAUUGUUCAGCAUUGUUCAGGCUGAACAAUGCUGAACAAUAUUGUUAACAACCAGGAACAAUAUGGGCAGCAAAAUAUUGUUC